CCCAAGUGCGCCAGGGGCCGGCCCAAGAAAUAGUUUGACUAUCUUGUACCUUUCAGGUGAAAACAAUCAACCAUGGACUCACAGUCAACUCUUCAAAUCAGGCCGACUAUCUACAUUUUAGUUCCAUGUAUAUUUUUGCUAAAUUUUGUCUAUGUGACUACUCUAUUUUUCCUAGUUUGACCAAGUCUAAAAACAACAACUUCUUAACUAUAUUAAUAACGCAUCACUAAUGUAUCCCAAAAUGCUAAAUAGGAGGAAGAGCUUUGUUUUACACAGACCACUAAAGAAAACAAUGACACUGUAUUAAAUUGCCUAGUAACUUUAGCAUGUUUCAAUACCAUGCUUGAUGCAUUUAUGCAAAGUAGGUGCAAAACAAUUCCUAUACUCCGAACAAAUUGCUCGAACAUCAUUUAACAACUUACAAACGAACUAAGAGGUCAAGAAGCAAAACAAAAUAGAAAAUCUAAUUAGCUACAACUCUUUCUGAAGAAAGAGACAAGUUCCUGCAAAUAUUUUAUGCUAUUUUCCAUCCAUAAAUAAAUGCUAUGAACAAUGCAGUAAUCAGCACGUUUGUGCUGCUGAGAGCACCUUCUUAAUUGCUUUUAUAUAGCUCCACUAUUAUAUCGGGAAUAAUUUUUCAGCUCGGACAAACCCCAGCUUUGUCACAGUGAUCUACCUUAAAACCUUUUAACAAAAGCUUAAUUUUGUCUUAUAUUGACAGAGACUUCUUUGGUUCAAGGAAUCUAUUUUUGGUUAAACGCACUAAUAUUUAUAUUUUUAUUUGAAUGCGGUUAUCCAGAUGUGCCCACUUUGACAGCGUGGCUGCUCCUGCUCCCUGACCCGUUGUCUUCUGCCCCUACUGCCUCUAACACGAGGACUCCUCCAGGCUGCUCCUGGAGCUGUGGCACCUGCUCAGCAGAGCAAUUACCUGGCACCACAGGAUCCCCACCACAACAUCCGUCCAUUCAGAGAGCACUUCAGCCAACGCCCUGGGUAACGAGGCCAACUCCCCAGGGUUAUGGUAUGAUUCUGUAUGCAGGAAGCCUGGACUAAUUAUUGUGUUCUCCCCUGUUGCAAACAUACAGCUACCCCCCUGCAGUAGAGCCUCCUUGCUCUCCAGAGGCCAUGCGACCUGUUCCCAUGUCUAAACUUUUCUCACUCCCUUCACUUCUUUUCUCCAAAGCCCCCGACAUGCUGCUGCUUGGAGCCAACUCCAUGGAGAUCAAGGGAGCUGGGGGAGAUGGUGGCAAAUGUUCCUGUUCCUCUUCCUGUUACUUUCAGGGUUUUGGCUGCAGUUCAGCAUUAUUAGACUUAAAUAGGCUUCAGUUGGCUAGUCUAGGAUGAAAUGUGUUGUGGAUUGGAUUGUGUCCCCCAAAAAGAUAUGUAGAAAUUCUACCCCUUGUUACCUGGGAAUGUGACCUUAUUUGGAAAUAAGAUCUUUACAGAUGUAAGAUGUAAGUUAAGAUGAGGUGUUACUGGAGAAGGGUAGGCCCUUGAUCCAGUGUAACUGAUGUCCUUAUAGGAAGAGAAGAGCCCCAGAGACAGACACGGAGAGAAGAUGCUGCUGUGUGAAGACUGACACAGGGGGCAGAAGGCCGUGUGGUGACAGAAGCAGAGCUUGGAGUUACAAAGCUGCUCGCCAGGGAGCACCGAGGACUGCUGGCAACCAUAGAAGGUAGGAAGGUGGGCACGGCACCUUCAUCUCAGACUCUUGGUUUCCAGAACUGUGGGAGAGCAAACAUCUGCUGUUGUAAGCCACCCUGUUUUUGGUAUUUUGUUACAGCAGAGUCACAAAGAAGACAUACAGCAUCCAACCUGUUUCUUAACAGAGUGCAUCUCAGACAAUUUAUCUCCCAAUCCAAAUAACUGGCAAAACAUCAAAAACAAGAUUUUUUAUUAGAUGGAGCAGCCUGUGUUCAACUGUUGUUCUCUUUUGAAACAGUGUGUUUUUAAGUGCAUAAUUGAUCCUUAUUUUUCUUCUUAAUUUAGUGGAAGAAUGCUUUCUAGCGAACCUGUUGUAGGUUAGGCUGAAGUGGAGUCUGGGUUGCAAGUUGAUUGGGAUCAGCAGGCCUGUGGAAGGCAGGAAGCAGGACUGGCAGAGGGCCUGGCCCACCUGGCAGGGGCUCUGUCCUGAGCGCUGCCCAUAGAGUGUCUUCUGCCAGCUCAUGUGGCUGGGCCUUUACACCCUGCCCGCCAGUCCCCAGAGACGUGUGGCCCGAGGAGGGGCGUGAACUCAGGCCAGCAGCUCUCUGCUGCUGGAGCUGCCCCUGAAGGCACUGGCAGGUGAAGGCUGCUGCCGACUGUUGAAGGGCCAUCUGGGCAGCAGGCCUGUCACCUCCUCUCUGUGGUUCAAGGUAGAGCUGCUAGCACAUAGUAGGCACGUGUUCCUCAGUCCUUCUCUCCAAAGUAUCUCCUGUUUCGUCACCCUGCUGUGUCGUCGUGCCUCCUUCCUAUACAGAGAUGUUUCGAAGGUACCUUAAUAGUGACUCAGCCAUACGAUCGAAGUCCACACUUUUAUAUUUGAACAUGGAUUAUUUGCCCCUGACUGAUGAAGUUACUUAUAAAUGCUACCAUUUUUCCAUUUAUAAUAAAUAACUUGUGAGGAGAUACUUUAA